GACGAACGCUGGCGGCGUGCUUAACACAUGCAAGUCGUACGGUGAGGCCCUUUCGGGGGUACACGAGUGGCGAACGGGUGAGUAACACGUGAGUAACCUGCCCACAACUUUGGGAUAACGCUAGGAAACUGGUGCUAAUACUGGAUAUGUGCUCCUGCUGCAUGGUGGGGGUUGGAAAGCUCCGGCGGUUGUGGAUGGACUCGCGGCCUAUCAGCUUGUUGGUGGGGUAGUGGCCUACCAAGGCGGCGACGGGUAGCCGGCCUGAGAGGGUGACCGGCCACAUUGGGACUGAGAUACGGCCCAGACUCCUACGGGAGGCAGCAGUGGGGAAUAUUGCACAAUGGGCGCAAGCCUGAUGCAGCAACGCCGCGUGCGGGAUGACGGCCUUCGGGUUGUAAACCGCUUUCAGCAGGGACGAAGCUUUUUGUGACGGUACCUGCAGAAGAAGCACCGGCUAACUACGUG
rnacentral:rRNA from 1 species